rnacentral:piRNA from 1 species
UGGAAAUGGUCUUUCUGAAGUGACAGGCU